rnacentral:rRNA from 1 species
CCUACGGGAGGCAGCAGUGGGGAAUAUUGGACAAUGGGGGGAACCCUGAUCCAGCCAUGCCGCGUGUGUGAAGAAGGCCCUCGGGUUGUAAAGCACUUUCAGUGAGGAAGAACGCCUGGUGGUUAAUACCCAUCAGGAAAGACAUCACUCACAGAAGAAGCACCGGCUAACUCCGUGCCAGCAGCCGCGGUAAUACGGAGGGUGCGAGCGUUAAUCGGAAUUACUGGGCGUAAAGCGCGCGUAGGUGGCUUGAUAAGCCGGUUGUGAAAGCCCCGGGCUCAACCUGGGAACGGCAUCCGGGACUGUCAAGCUAGAGUGCAGGAGAGGAAGGUAGAAUUCCCGGUGUAGCGGUGAAAUGCGUAGAGAUCGGGAGGAAUACCAGUGGCGAAGGCGGCCUUCUGGACUGACACUGACACUGAGGUGCGAAAGCGUGGGUAGCAAACAGGAUUAGAUACCCGUGUAGUC